rnacentral:rRNA from 1 species
UACGUAGGGUGCAAGCGUUGUCCGGAAUUAUUGGGCGUAAAGAGCUCGUAGGCGGUCUGUCGCGUCGGCUGUGAAAUCCCGAGGCUCAACCUCGGGUCUGCAGUCGAUACGGGCAAACUAGAGUAUUGCAGGGGAGACUGGAAUUCCUGGUGUAGCGGUGAAAUGCGCAGAUAUCAGGAGGAACACCGUGGCGAAGGCGGGUCUCUGGGCAAUAACUGACGCUGGAGGAGCGAAAAGCGUGGGGGAGCGAACGG